CAUCUACUCCCUCUGUUCGGAAUUACUUGUCGCAGAAAUGGAUGUAUCUAUAUGUAUUUUAAUUCUAGAUACAUCCAUUUCCGAGACAAGUAAUUCCGAACGGAGGGAGUAGUUG
rnacentral:pre_miRNA from 1 species